rnacentral:lncRNA from 1 species
GUCUUUUGUCUUUUGUUGUUGUUGCUAUUUCUUGGGCCGCUCCCGCGGCAUAUGGAGGUUCCCAGGCUAGGGGUCGAAUCGGAACUGUAGCCUCCGGCCUACGCCAGAGCCACAGCAACGCGGGAUCCGAGCCGCGUCUGCAACCUACACCACAGCUCACGGCAACGCCGGAUCGUUAACCCACUGAGCAAGGGCAGGGACCGAACCCGCCACCUCAUGGUUCCUAGUCGGAUUCGUUAACCACUGUGCCACGACGGGAACUCCUAUUUUUUUAACAUUAUAUUUUUCCAAUUCAUGGGGAAUGAACUUGGUAAAAUUAGUGAAAUACAGGUCUGAUUUACAUUUUUUCCAACCAUUUUUAUUGACUAGUCCAUCUUUUAAAUAUAAGGUCACGUUUAUCUUAUACUAAAUUCUUGUGCACACUGGAUCCAUUUAAGGAAUUCUCUAAUCACUUCCACUAGUCUGCUACAUGGGCUAUCUUUCUUAUAAUUUUAACUUAUUUAGUUUGAAUACACAACACAGUCAUAUGCUUGGAAAUUCAGAAAACAUUAAAGGGUAUAUAGGAAAAUGUUUGCCUACUCCAUUACUCUUUUUCCCACCAAAUCAAGUCCUAUAAGCAAAAAACUGGCCCCUGACUACUCUUUUUGAAAAACGGUGUAUCAUAAGAAUUGUUACGCAUCUUACCCUUUCUAAAGCUAAACAAUAAACUCUACUAUGUCAGUACAAAAGGGGCUUCUUCCAUUUUUUCAUUGCAUGAAUGGAACAUAAUAUAUUCAAUCUUCUGUUGAUGGAUGUUAGGUUUUUUCCAAAACUUCUGCUGCUACAAAAAAUACCAGAAUCAAUAACCGUACAAACUUCUUUUUGCAUGUGUGAGUGCAUGUGAAGCAUAUUUCUAGAAAUGUGAUUACUAGAUCAAAGGAUAAAUGCAUUUGUAUUUAUAAAAGACAUUGACAAAUUGCCAUCCAUAAAGGUUGCUCAUCUAUGCAGCCAUUGUUAUAUUUUACAGUAAUUGUUUGGUGGUAGUUUUGUUCGGUAGUUGCUUAGUCUACCAGUGAUGGAUAAAAAUGUCUGUCUCCAUUCUCCCAUACACAUACAGUAUGUGAUAUUUGGUAGUAUUGAACUUUACCCAGGUUUUGUUUAAAUAACAUUAAAUAAUUAAAUAGCAGGGUUUCUAAAAAAAUUUUUUUGACAAUUCAGAGAUUUAUGGGUUGUGAGACAUUUCUAUUUAAUGACACAUUCCCCACAUAGGAAAUCUUUUGGAUUUUUCAUUUUAAUUUAAGUUUGCACUCAUUGUAAUUUCUGCCAUUGUUUAUUUUGUGUACUUUUAACAUAGGAUUUAUAGAUAGAAAGAUUAAAUUAAGUACAUUGUUUUAUUGCUAAUACAUUAUUUCUUACACAUCUAAAACCUUAUAUCUAAUAAUGCCUUAAAUGUUUGAAAUUGUGUGAGUUUAAACUCUAAAAUUUAGAUAUGUUUUAGUAAAUUAGAAUGUAAUGCAAACAGAAAAAAGAAAAAAAGUUUCUAAAUCAAGUCUCUUCCCAAGUUAUCUAAUCUUACCUCAGGGGGUACUUUUAUCUCAUGAACAGAAUAUGAGAAGUUUCAUAUACGACAAAGCAAGAAAGUUUUCAAAUAAAUCUUGGGACAAAUCAUAGUUUGACUUAUGGCUUCAAUAAUUAUUAUCAAAAUUGCAACAAAACAGGAGUUCCCAUCAUGGCAUGGAAGAAAUAAAUCUGACUAGGAACCAGGAGGUUGCAGGUUCGAUCCCUGGCCUUGCUCAGUGAGUUAAGGAUCUGGCGUUUCCAUGGCUGUGGUGUAGCUCACAGCAAUGCCGGAUCCUCAACCCACUGAGCAAGGCCAGGGAUCGAACACGCAACCUCAUGGUUCCUAGUUGGAUACGUUAACCACUGAGGCACGAUGGGAACUCCACUUAGAAUUAAUCUUGAGGAUUUACUUUCACUUCCCCUCACGCCCCACUUUUUUUUUUCUUUUUAGGGUGACACCCAUGGCAUGUGGAAAUUGAGGCUAGGAGUUGAAUCGGAGCUGCAGCUGCCAGCUGCAGCCACAACGAUGCCAGAUCCCAGCCACAUCUGGGACUACACCACGGCUCAUGGCAAUGAAGGAUCCUUAACCCACUGAGCCAGGUCAGGGAUCGAAUAUGCAUCUUCAUGGAUACUAGUCGGGUUCUUAACCCAUUGUACCACAAGGGAACUCUCUACUUUCCUUUUUUAAAAAUGACUUCUUUUUAUUUUAUUACACUUUGGUUUCAAGGAAUAGCAUGCUCCUGCAAAGAGCACUCUGCUCGUGUUGGCUCUUUGUGUCCUGCAUAGCCACCUCCCCAUCAAGACUAGAACACUUCCUGUAUUCCUUAGCAUCCUCUUGUGCCUCCUUCUGAUUUAUAUCACCCUAUCUCAGAAUUAACCCCUUGUAUUCAUUUCCUGUGGCGACUGUAACAAGUGACCCCAAGUGUGAUGAAUUAAAAACCAGAAAUUCAUUUUUAUAGCUUUGGAGACCGCAAGUCCAAAAUUAAGGCAUUGCAAGGGCUGUCCUCCCUCUGAAGGCUCUAGGGGAAGAAACCGGCCAGCCCCUUCUAGGCUCCAGCGGUCCCAGGCAUUCCGAGGCUUGGGGCUUCACUACUUCAGUCUCUGCUUCCAUCAUCAUAGGGCCUCUUCCUUCUCUGUGUCUCUCCUGUAUAUGUCUCUUAUGUGAACACGUCAUUGGAUUUAGAGCCCAUUUGGAAAAUCCAAGAUAAAUCUCAUUUUAAGAUCUUUAAUUAUAUCUGUAAAGACCCUUUUUCUAAAAAAAAGAAAGAAAGAAAGAAAGAAAAAGAAAAAGGAAGAAAGAAAGAAAAAGAAAAAGUCACAUCGUCACAUCCAAAGAGUCUAGGGCUUAGAGUGUGGACAUAUUUUUGGGGGAAGCCACCUUCAAUCUUACUACACUCCUGUUUUGAAUUCUAUCACCAUAGUUAAGUGUUGCCUUUUCUUAAACUUCAUAAAAAUGGAAUUGUACUUAUGCCAUCUCUGUGUCUGGCUUAGUUCACUGUUUUCCUUUUUAAAAAGAAAUCUGCAGAGGAAAGGCUUCUUGAACAACUCUUCAGUUAAUCGGGUUUUCUGUGAGACCAGAAGGACCUGAGUAGACAGUGAUGAUAAAAUCUGGCAGCUUCUGCAAAGCACUUACCAGUCUAGUCUCCCCAUCGAGCUCAUCUACAUUUGAUCUAGGUGUGUUAACAUGAGAUUCCUCAGUUCUAGAAGAAUCCGUAUAUAGCAGUUGAACCCACUCCCACUGAACUUUCAUGUAAGAGUGCCUUGGAAAGAAUCAAUUGAGGUAUAGCCUUGCUAUGAAUAAUAAUAACGUCAAAGUUACAAAUAAAAAGAGAUUCUUUCAUAGCUCUAGAUUCAGCCCUUUUCAUUUACCUGAGAUUCAUUGUAAUGCAUUUGUUUCCUCCUCUUUAAUGAAUGGAUAUUUCUUCCCUAAAAUUUAAAUUCCGUUUCAAAUACAUAUUUAUGAUAUCAUUGUCUGUGCUCAAGCAGGCGAUUUCAAGAUGAUCUAUAAGUAUAACCAUGCAAAUUCACUGCUCAAAUGAAUUCUGCCAAGAUAUUUCUCGUUAAUCUUGGGAACAUUGCAGGUGCAUUUAUUAAUACAGAGGACUUUGUGGUAGAAUGCGUGAUCCUUUCUGACAUAUUAAGCUAUUUUUAAUUUGCUCUUAUCAUUGAAAGCUUCUCUUUUUCAAAGAUAUUAGAUAACUCUAGGGUGUUAAGCAACAUAGAGUUAUUUGGGGGCACAAGGGAGAGCAGGAGCAGUUAUUAAUCUUAUGCAAAAAUGCCUAUCUAAUUUUCAAAGGAUCCAGGCACCACCACAAAUGAGAAGAUCCAUGGAGUAUCUGGGAGGAAGAUAAUAUCCUGCUUAUUUAAUUGAUCCUCUGUUACUUUUCUCUUGGUAGGUAUAGUUCACUAAUGGAAUUUGCGCAGUGCCAUCAUUAUUAAAAAUGUCAGUGUGACAUUUGAUUCAUCCAGUCUAUUUAGAUUUGGAACACAAAUCAUGUAUUUAUUCUAACAACAUAAUUGAUUAAUGCUCCCCACUUCUGUCUUCACUAUAUUUAGAGAUUUUUCUUAACAUUUCCAUCUUUACCCUAUAAGUAUGUUAUACCCCUCUUUAGGUUGGGGCCAUGCCAUAGGUUCAGCCUAUGUAAUAUUACAGUGAUUGGUAGCACGCUAGGAACUUGUAUCAAUGUUGUCAUCAGUUUUAUUUAAAGUUUAACAAUUGAUGGAUUUCUAAUGUGCUGGGCAUUGAGUGCAGGGUUUUAUGGCUCUCUUCACUUUAGGGUUCCUUGGUUCGGCUCUCUUUUUCCCUAGGCUCACGUAAGUCCCCUUUUGCCAUAUUCAAGGUUGACAUUAUCAGUGGGAGGGCCCAGGGAAUGAAGGAAGUUAAGAUGUACAACACGAUGAGUGUCCAGGUGAGAAGAUUCAUUUUAUUCAUCAAUUUAUUUACUUAACAAAGGUUUACUAGAUGCCUCUUACAGAUUCCAGGUUCUAGGAAACCGCAGUGAAAGGAGACCCAUCCUUUUGAGAGAUUUGCAUUCUCUUUGGGGGCUAUAAAUUCUAAAUAACUAGUGCAGAUUGUAGUAGGAAGGAAGGAAACAGAGUUAUAGAAAUAUGUCUUAGGAGGAUGGGGGCCAGGUGUAAAUUUGGUGUUCUGGGGAGUUCCCAUUGUGGCGCAGUAGAAAUGAAUCUGACUAGUAUCCAUGAGGAUGCUGGUUCAAUCCCUGACCUCACCCAGUGGGUUAAGGAUCUGGCUUUGCCAUGAAUUAUGGUGUAGUUUGCAGACACAGCUCAGAUCCCAUAUUGUUGUGGCUGUGGCUGUUGCUGGCAGCUGUAGUUCCGAUUCGACCCCUAGCCUGGAAACUUUCACAUGCCAUGGGUGCAGCCCUAAAAAGCCAAAAAGAAAAAAAAAAAUGAUGUUCUGGGAAGUCCUUAGUGAGUAGUUAAAAUUGGAGCUAAGAAGCAGGUCAAAGAGUUAGGGCAAAAGUCUUGAGGGGCCAAGAAUUGGGUACAGUCAAGGAAUACGAUAUAGGUGAUUGGAAAGUGUGAUAUGAGCUCUGGGAGGAGUUGGGUCCAGAACCUGUGGCACCCUGUGGCAAAAUAGGGGCCGGGCUGGUGCACAGCUGUUACUGUGGGACCUUUAGCUAGGGGGCUGUUAGUGAGCACACUCAGCCAAUGGUCCUUGUGUUUGGUAACAGCAGGACAUGGUGAAGAGGUGAAAUUUUAUUCUAAGUGUAAUGAAAAGCCAGAAAAAAAAAAUCUGUAAGACACUGAAGCUGGAGACUCUUUUUUCCUUUUUUUUUUUUUUUUUUGGUCUUUUGUCUUUUGUCCUUUUUAGGCCAGCACCUGUGGCAUAUAGAGGUUCCCAGGCUAGGGGUCUAAUUGGAGCUGUAGCCGCCAGCCUAUGCCACAGCCACAACAACACCAGAUCCAAGCUGCAUCUGUGACCUGUGCUACAGCUCAUGGGGACGCCAGGGCCUUAACCCACUGAGGGAGGCCAGGGAUGGAACCCGCAACCUCGUGGCUCCUAAUAGGAUUCGUUUCUGCUGCACCACGAUGGGAACUCC